GAUUGAGAAAACAUGUGAUUCCUAAUUAUAUAAAGAAAAUGCAAAAUGUUUUCUUCGAAAAUAUUUUAUUGAACCCAUUUUGUUAUGGUUCGAUAUCAUACAUGAUGGGGGGAAAACCGGAAACGCUAAUGUUUCCAGGAAAUUUACGACAGAUUAUUAUACACUUGAGUGCACUCUAUUUCAAAAUAUACAAGAAGGUGGACAUAUAUGUUUUUUAAUAUUUAUUCAUAUUUUAUUUUCUCUUUAAAACAAAUUUUCUAAUUUAUUAAAGUGACAAUCCCUUCAAAAAGAAAAUUAUCUUCUAACAGGA
rnacentral:lncRNA from 1 species